UGGGGAAUAUUGCACAAUGGGCGCAAGCCUGAUGCAGCCAUGCCGCGUGUAUGAAGAAGGCCUUCGGGUUGUAAAGUACUUUCAGCGGGGAGGAAGGGAGUAAAGUUAAUACCUUUGCUCAUUGACGUUACCCGCAGAAGAAGCACCGGCUAACUCCGUGCCAGCAGCCGCGGUAAUACGGAGGGUGCAAGCGUUAUUCGGAAUUACUGGGCGUAAAGCGCACGCAGGCGGUUUGUUAAGUCAGAUGUGAAAUCCUCGGGCUCAACCUGGGAACUGCAUCUGAUACUGGCAAGCUUGAGUCUCGUAGAGGGGGGUAGAAUUCCGGGUGUAGCGGUGAAAUGCGUAGAGAUCUGGAGGAAUACCGGUGGCGAAGGCGGCCCCCUGGACAAAGACUGACGCUCAGGUGCGAAAGCGUGGGGAGCAAACAGG
rnacentral:rRNA from 1 species